AUACGUAGGGGCCUGACGUUGUUCGGAAUCAUUGGGCGUAAAGGGCGCGCAGGCGGCCAUCCAAGUCCGGUGUUAAAUGGUCGGGCUCAACCCGAUCAUGCGCUGGAAACUGGGCGGCUGGAGUCCCGGAGGGGAUGCCGGAAUUCCAGGUGUAGGGGUGAAAUCUGUAGAUAUCUGGAAGAACACCGAUGGCGAAGGCAGGCAUCUGGCCGGAGACUGACGCUGAGGCGCGAAGGCGCGGGGAGCGAACAGGUUUAGAUACCCUGGUAGUCCGCGCAGUAAACGAUGCGCACCAGGUGUCGGGCGGCAGCGCCCGGUACCGGAGCAAACGCGAUGAGUGCGCCGCCUGGGGAGUAUGCCCGCAAGGGUGAAACUCAAAUGAAUUGGCGGGG
rnacentral:rRNA from 1 species